rnacentral:rRNA from 1 species
GGACGAACGCUGGCGGCGUGCCUAACACAUGCAAGUCGAACGGUCCGGCCGAAAGGCCGGAUAGUGGCGGACGGGUGAGCAACGCGUGAGCAACCUGCCUUAAAGAGGGGGAUAACACAGGGAAACCUGCGCUAAUACCGCAUAACAUGAAUUUUCCGCAUGGGAGAUACAUCAAAGGAGCAAUCCGCUUUAAGAUGGGCUCGCGUCCGAUUAGAUAGUUGGUGGGGUAACGGCCCACCAAGUCAGUGAUCGGUAGCCGGACUGAGAGGUUGAGCGGCCACAUUGGAACUGAGAGACGGUCCAGACUCCUACGGGAGGCAGCAGUGGGGGAUAUUAGGCAAUGGGGGAAACCCUGACCUAGCAACGCCGCGUGAAGGAAGAAGGUCUUCGGAUUGUAAACUUCUUUGACGAGGGACGAUAAUGACGGUACCUCGAAAACAAGCCACGGCUAACUACGUGCCAGCAGCCGCGGUAAUACGUAGGUGGCGAGCGUUGUCCGGAUUUACUGGGUGUAAAGGGCGUGUAGGCGGAAUGGCAAGUCAGAUGUGAAAUACGGGAGCUUAACUCCCGGGCUGCAUUUGAAACUGCUGUUCUUGAGUGAUGGAGAGGUAAGCGGAAUUCCCGGUGUAGCGGUAAAAUGCGUAGAUAUCGGGAGGAACACCAGUGGCGAAGGCGGCUUACUGGACAUUAACUGACGCUGAGGCGCGAAAGUGUGGGGAGCGAACAGGAUUAGAUACCCUGGUAGUCCACACUGUAAACGAUGGAUACUAGGUGUGGGGGGACUGACCCCUUCCGUGCCGGAGUCAACACAAUAAGUAUCCCACCUGGGGAGUACGGUCGCAAGAUUAAAACUCAAAGGAAUUGACGGGGACCCGCACAAGCAGUGGAGUAUGUGGAUUAAUUCGACGCAACGCGAAGAACCUUACCAAGGCUUGACAUCCUACUAACGAAGUAGAGAUACAUUAGGUGCCCUUUUAGGGAGAGUAGAGACAGGUGGUGCAUGGUUAUCGUCAGCUCGUGUCGUGAGAUGUUGGGUUAAGUCCCGCAACGAGCGCAACCCUUGUGGUUAGUUGCUACGGAAGAGCACUCUAACCAGACUGCCGUUGACAAAACGGAGGAAGGUGGGGACGACGUCAAAUCAUCAUGCUCCUUAUGUCUUGGGCUUCACACGUACUACAAUGGCGAGAAACAAAGGGCAGCGAACCCGCGAGGGUGAGCGAAUCCCGAAAAGUCGCCUCAGUUCAGAUUGCAGGCUGCAACCCGCCUGCAUGAAGACGGAAUUGCUAGUAAUCGUAGAUCAGCAUGCUACGGUGAAUACGUUCCCGGGUCU